GUUUGUUGCAACUCCACCCGCCAUGCUUUUUUGGAUCUAUAGAACAAAAUAAAAGAUUUAUAUAUUUUAUUCCCUAUGCUCCACUAUAUCAUUGUCCUUAUUCUCCAUGUCAACCAAACAAGGGAAAAUGAUAUCUUUUCUUUCCCCCUCAUUUUCCUUGACUUUUCCGUCAAUAAAAAUUAGCAUUAAGUAAGAAAUCAAAAGAGAUCGAAAUUUGCACUAGCAUCAAAGUAAUUGUACAACCAAAUAAAUGAAAACCUAAUUAAAAUUCCCCAGUUAUCAUAUUUUUUUCAGAAAUAUAUACCAUAAAAAUGAAAACCAAUUAAGGAAGCCUUCUUGCAAAUGAUGCCCUCCCCCUAGAGGUAACACUGAAAUAAACUUAAGUUCAAAGUUAAGCAUAUAGAAAUAUGAAUGCUCUAUCUCAAUCUUAGUCAUGGAGUUUAAUUGCUAAGUACACCAACCUCUACACCCAAAGAAGAUUACACAUUGGGACACUAAGAAAAGG
rnacentral:misc_RNA from 1 species